AUUGAACGCUGGCGGCAUGCUUUACACAUGCAAGUCGAACGGCAGCGCGGGCUUCGGCCUGGCGGCGAGUGGCGAACGGGUGAGUAAUGCAUCGGAACGUGCCCAGUAGUGGGGGAUAGCCCGGCGAAAGCCGGAUUAAUACCGCAUACGACCUGAGGGUGAAAGCGGGGGACCGAAAGGCCUCGCGCUGUUGGAGCGGCCGAUGUCGGAUUAGCUAGUUGGUGGGGUAAAGGCUUACCAAGGCGACGAUCCGUAGCUGGUCUGAGAGGACGACCAGCCACACUGGGACUGAGACACGGCCCAGACUCCUACGGGAGGCAGCAGUGGGGAAUUUUGGACAAUGGGGGCAACCCUGAUCCAGCCAUGCCGCGUGCGGGAAGAAGGCCUUCGGGUUGUAAACCGCUUUUGUUCGGGAAGAAAUCCUCUGGGCUAAUACCCCGGGGGGAUGACGGUACCGGAAGAAUAAGCACCGGCUAACUACGUG
rnacentral:rRNA from 1 species